UACGUAGGGAGCAAGCGUUGUCCGGAAUCAUUGGGCGUAAAGCGCGCGUAGGCGGCUCGAUCAGUCUGUUGUGAAAGUCAAAAGGCUCAACCUUUGAAUGCCGAUGGAUACUGUCGAGCUAGAGUCCGGAAGAGGCGGGUGGGAAUUCCUGGUGUAGCGGUGGAAUGCGCAGAUAUCAGGAGGAACACCAACGGCGAAGGCAGCCCGCUGGGACGGUACUGACGCUAAGGCGCGAAAGCGUGGGGAGCGA
rnacentral:rRNA from 1 species